CCUAUGUUCCAUGUCACAUUUUGAAUUACAUACAGAUUACGGCGUAAGCCAAUACUGCAUAACUCUUGUAUCUAUUGCAGAGCCCAAUAUGGCAAAACUGAGUUUCUCUCUUCCAAGCUCCUCAAAGCGAUGCUUUCUUCCACUUGCGUUCUGGUCGAAAGAGGAUUAGAUCCCUUCCCGUAUCUAACAAAGCCGUGUCUCUUUGGUUGCCAAGAGAACCACGGAAACAGUCUCACUCUUAUUUUUGCUUGUCUAAACAGCGACUAAAAGCUCAGCUCAACUAUGCAAAGUUCACUCUAGUCUUGUACUUAUUUAUUCAUAGCAGCGGCCGCAGGGACUGGACAUAGGCCAGUAACUUCAGUGAUUUCGGAAAGUUGCCUGUGUCUUUCUGUGAAAGGAGUUCAAAGAGAGAAGCACGAAACUUUUGAAUCUUGUGGUUUUUGUUCUCAACGUCCAGAAAUCCCCUGUUUUUCUUUUGAUAGCGUGUCGCUGAUCAUCCGCUCCUGGGGGGGCUUGCUGUUUUGGAUUAAUGUCAGUCCCUUUGUACUUGUGAUCUUCCACGGAAAAGAAGUCUCACACGUGUAAAAGCGACGAAUCCAUCCUUUUGUCGUUACUCGUAUUAUGGUUUCAUUUGGGCUUCAUACAGCCUCGAUAUUUGGAACAUUCUUCCUUCUCAGUGAAUCUUACUUUAGGCAUACCAGAUGUUUUCUUGUCUUUAAAUGGUUUUUCAACCAAUUAGAAAAUUGUCUUAUCGUCAGAGUGGAAUUGUAACCAAUCAAUUGUUUAGGAGCCAACCGUGGAUCUGUACUACUACUACCUUCAAGUAACUAACGACCAGAGCGACAUUCUUCAAGAUUGGAAGACUUUUGGGACUGCUCUCCAACCUGGUGUCCCUUAAUUUGUUGUUCUCCAACGUGUCUUAGAUGAACUUAGGAGCAGAGUUGACUACUGCUAUAUGAAGUUGUCGUAUAUCUACUAUGAUGGAUUUGAUUCCCA